rnacentral:rRNA from 1 species
AUUGAACGCUGGCGGCAUGCCUUACACAUGCAAGUCGAACGGCAGCACGGACUUCGGUCUGGUGGCGAGUGGCGAACGGGUGAGUAAUGUAUCGGAACGUACCUUUCAGUGGGGGAUAACGUAGCGAAAGUUACGCUAAUACCGCAUAUUCUGUGAGCAGGAAAGCAGGGGAUCGAAAGACCUUGCGCUGAUUGAGCGGCCGAUAUCAGAUUAGCUAGUUGGUGGGGUAAAGGCCUACCAAGGCGACGAUCUGUAGCGGGUCUGAGAGGAUGAUCCGCCACACUGGAACUGAGACACGGUCCAGACUCCUACGGGAGGCAGCAGUGGGGAAUUUUGGACAAUGGGGGCAACCCUGAUCCAGCCACGCCGCGUGAGUGAAGAAGGCCUUCGGGUUGUAAAGCUCUUUCGGCCGGGAAGAAAUCGCAUAGGCUAAUGCCCUGUGUGGAUGACGGUACCGGAAUAAGAAGCACCGGCUAACUACGUG